GCUCUCUUCAGUAGAACAUAUGCUAAAACCGGAGAGAUACAGAGAAGAUUAGUAUGGCCCCUGUGCAAGGAUGACUUGUAAAUCUGUGAAGCAGUCCAUGUUUUU